rnacentral:rRNA from 1 species
UACGUAGGGGUCUAGCGUUGUCCGGAAUUAUUGGGCGUAAAGAGCUCGUAGGCGGUUCGGCAAGUCGGAUGUGAAAUCUCCACGCUUAACGUGGAGGGGCCAUUCGAAACUGCCGUGACUCGAGUCCGGUAGGGGAGUGCGGAAUUCCCGGUGUAGCGGUGAAAUGCGUAGAUAUCGAGAGGAGCACCUGCGGCGAAGGCGGGUUGCUGGGCUGAUACUGACGCUGAGGCGCGAAAGCCAGGGGAGCGAACGGG